rnacentral:lncRNA from 1 species
UUUUUUCUUUUUUUUUUUGGUCUUUUUUAGGGCCACACCCAUGGCAUAUGGAAGUCCCCAGGUUAGGGGUCAUAUCCGAGCUACAGUUGCUGGCCUAUACCACAGCCACAGCAACUUGGGAUCUGAGCGGCAUCCGUGACCUAUACCACAGCUCAUGGCAACGCCAGAUCCUUCACCCACUGAGCAAAGCCAGGGAUCGAACCUGAGUCCUCAUGGGUACUAGUCAGGUUCAUUUCCACUGCGCCACGACAGGAACUCCUGUUUGUGUAUUAAUGCCACCCUAGGCGUGCACUAAAGUUUCCAUAUGUCAAAGGCGAUUUAGAUUAGGGAAGGUUUAUUCGUUUAACUUCUACACUAUGUGUAAAUUCAACUUCCCUUUCAAGACUGCAACAUGUUUUUCUCUGCAGUUUGGCAUGUGUCCAUUAAUUUCUACCCAUGCAUUUUACAUUGGAUUUAAUUGGGUGUGAAAGCCACCUAUGAGAUAAGAGCUAACAGGAUUUUUAUCCUGGUCAAACGAGGAUCCGCCCACAAGGCUACUGAGAGCAAUACAGCUGCGGAGAACUAUACUCCCCUGCACCCCCGCCCAAGAGAAAAUACACAGCCCUCAAGGGGCCAUUCCAGAACCUUCUGUGGAAUGUGGCUACCUGAAAAUUCUCUUCUAGGAGAAAAUUACAUAUCCAUCACUAACUGCUACGACUUUGGCAGAUAUUGCACAGGCUUAGGCUGCUUGAAUCACAUCACAAGUGUCCGUGGUGUGGAAAGAAAGUGAAAGAUCAACAAACUACAUAUCAGUGAUGACAAAAAUUCCACUAACUGCAGACAGAAAGAACCGUUGACACUAGGAGAUCACGAGGGUUAGUUUUAAAGCUUAAAUGGGAGAUGCUACCAGUUAUUGAAGCAGAAUGUGCUUCUCCAAAAACACUACCGCCUGCAGAUCUUUGGAAAAAGACUGGUGCGCCAUAUCUCUGUCAAACACAGAGGAAGACCCAAGGAAGGGACGCAAGCUGCCAUUAAGGAGGAAACGAGAAAAUGGCCAAGGAGGCAGCGUUUAGCUGAAACCGCCACACCCAAUCUCCCAGCAAGGCUUCGGGGCCCACAUUUCUCACCCAUCACAGAUUUUUCAGCGAUAAUUGCAUGUUCUCCUCUGCAGGGAAUUUGCACAGGUCUCUGCGGAGAGCGUGGGGCUGUGCAGACCACAUGGUGGAGCCCGUCGGACCUCAGACUGCACGCAGGGCGGGCACGGACAUGCCAUGCACAGCGCCCACUCCGUGGGUGUUUCAGCUGGGGGGUUUUGAGUUUAUGAUGUGCAGUCUGACAUUCAAAACUCCUGGUCACCUGAGCUCUGCUACUGUGUCCCCCAAACUCCUGCAGGUCCUGGUGAGGUCGGGGCUGAUGGAGCUGCCCCAGGUGCACUGGCUGGAACAUGCAGCUUCAGCAAAAUGCUGCUCCCUCUCGGCACCGUUGGCUUUUGGAGUUUCCCCUCUGCUCCCAGGUAGGGGUGGGGGCUCCUGGGGUGGGGGGAGCAGGAGGAAAGGGCGUUCGAUCUUGAACUCGUGUCUGCAAAACACUUCACCCCGAAGCUUUCACAGGCCUGUGGGGUGCGCAGGCAUCACCGGGAUGGCCCAGUCUCACGGUCACCCGCGAUGCAGAGGGGCAGGAGGUCACAGCCACGGAGGCCACGGGGCUGACCUCGGACCACGACAGCAGGCCCCCCCGGAGCGAGAAGAUGCUCUGGUGGGCGAGUUCCCUGCCCCGGGCUGGAGCUGCGCUGGCGGAAGCCCUGUCCCAGGUCGGCUGCCCCGCAUCUGAGGGCUCCUCGUCACUCUCGGCCCCCCGCGACCUGGCCUCCCCUCUGCCAACUUUGCUUCAAUCACAUCCCCCCUGCCGCCACCCCCGGGCUGAGGUGAGUGCUCCCCGCUGGGAGGACGGCCAGGAUUGGCAGUUCCCGCCACUCCAGGCUGGACAGGGGGAUGGGCAUCUGCUUCCUGAUUCCCAAGGCAGCGGUGGCCCAAGGCUUUCAGACGAGUCAUGAAAAAGGCAGGUGUCUGCUAUUUCCUAAACUCAAUUCCAGAAAAAUCAAGGCGCAAACCCUUUCCCUUGUUUUUCGCUACCAUGAUAGCUCAUAACAUUGCAUUUAAUAAAUACGGUAGAGUGGCAGGUGACAAAAGUCCUAAGAGUGACUUAAGCAAUGCCCACCCACCACCAUGGAAAAAUGAAAAGCGUGAUGUCACGAGUUAGGGAUCAUCUUGACAAAACACGACUCACAAUUAUGGGGCUGUCUUCUGGGAAAUGUGAAAAGUCGUGCUAACAGCUUUGCACCUUUAGGCAAAACAGUGUGAUUUUGUGGCAACUUAGCCGUUUGACAAAUCCUUACUGGGAAGACACACACACAUACCCACAACACUCGGUAUGCACACACAGGCGACAUCCAUUAUAAACACUGUGGGGUGGACCCAUGACAACGUGUGACGCUUGCACAGGGUUUGGGGGACGUGGCCGAGGCAGGUCCCAGCAGUCAGGGACGUCGGUCAGGAGCUGAGACGCCCACUGGGUCUGGAUCCCAUCCGUGGCUCUUUCUGUGUAUCCCUGGACAAUUUAACUUCUCCUGACAUAGUUUCCGCUGAUAUAAAUUACAGACAGGCAGCUGGACAAGAAGAGGAACACGGGGUGUGCUGAGGACUAGCGGGGCUGACCUCGGGCCACGGCAGCAGGCCCCCCGGAGCGAGAAGAUGCUCUGGUGGGCGAGUUCCCGGCCCCCGGCUGGAGCUGGGCUGAGGGAUUUGCCCAAAGGUGUACAAAUGAUCACUGGCGGUGUUGGGACAAAACUGUUUGUCAGCUGUUUUAAAUAAAUCCGUUUCAGAGGGUCAAAGAACACAGACUCCUGAAGUUGGAGUUAUUUCACAGAUUCUGCCUUCGGGACACACCAUGAAUUUUUCUUUAAAACAGUCGCUAUUCGGAAAACAAUUGAGGACGUUUUUUGGGACACAGACAUUGGUUCGUUUUGGGCAAAGCCGUCAGCAUGGAGGCUGGAUGCAGUGGGCUUUCUCUCUGGGCUCCGGGCCAGAGGAGACGGGGCUUCCUCCAGCGGCAGCUGCAGGGUGCCACCAGUGCGCCCAUGCGGCCAUCGCGGGCUAACUGGGCCGUGCCAGGAAGGAAAGUGCCCCAAAUCUAAAUCUUGUCCUGUGGCACUUUCAUUUCUCCCGUAAAAGCAAGCCCCGAGUCCCUCUGAAGCGGGGAUGCUGAGGAAAGCGAGGGGCUGUGACAGAAGCAUGGCCCACGGGAGCCGUGGAGGCUCCCAGAUGAGGAGGAGCGGGGGCGCGGGCUGCAGGACCCGGCUGUCUCCAGCCGCCACCUGCCCAGUGAGGGCCAUGGCAGCAUGGCCCUUCCACCUGCAUCUGUGUGAUUUUUAAUUGUAAUCUAAGGAGAAGAACCAAGGACGGGACAGUCCUGCGAAUUGGCGGCGCCAGGCCAGGCACUGAGACGGGCGAGGUGGUGGGCAGAUGAGUGAGAGCAGGUGGUCAUCAGUUUCGGACCGAGAGCCCUGGUGUCGUGGACCGUUCCACACGUACCGUCGGAGAGGACACGGGAUGGAGCUGGUUCCCAUCCUCUGGCCUGGGGACCACAGAAAUCACGCUGUUCACCAACACCAACCCCAAGCCACGAGGCAUGGGUCCUUGGUCCUGACGAGCAGCUGUCGGUGCCCAGGGACCGGCGUCCCAGCCGAGCCUUGAGUCCAGGUCCAGGUUUUGUAUUUUCUCCUACACGUCCGUCUCGCCCAGAUUUCCCCGUCGCAUGAACUUGUUUCAAGACCCACCUCUGGGGUCACUUCCUCUCAAAGACUUCUUUGCCCUCUCUGCUCAGAGCUGGUGUCUUCUUCAUCCUCCUAAACCAUCUCCCCAUACCUCUGCUGAUACCACGAGAAGGCCUGAGCUCCUCGCGGGGCCAGGAAGCAGAGAGAAACCAAGCACACGCUCUGGACGGAAGGAAGGCCACGCAGGUCUGUUACUCGUGGUCCCUACCACGCCUUGUGACCCUUGAGGACAGUGACCAUGCCUCACACCUUCGACACGCUCAGAGGCUAGAAGAGUUGUGAACAAAACAGGGACUCAACAGUGUUGAAAAUGGUACAGAGAUGAAGAAAGGCUAACGCGCAAUGAUUCCUUGGUACCCGUGACAGAGUGUGGGUGGGAACGAAGCCUUUCCUUUGAGUACUUUCUGUCACAUCUAUUCCACCGGGAACUUCUGACUAUUUUCACGUGGCCCGGAAAUAGACUUGGAUUAACGACGGAAAUCUGAGGACUCCUUGGAAUUAGCGAUUUAUGUCCAAUGCAGAUCUCUAAACAAAAUUCCCUUGUAUCCUGUUGAAGGUUGCCUGUGCCAGCACAGGUACGUCCUGGCUACUUACUAAUUAUGUCAUCUUAGCAUAGUCUCUAACCUUCGCUUUACCGAGCAAUAAAGUGGGAAGAAGAGUCACUCAGGCUCGCAGAGUCUGGGAGGAAUUUAGUGCUUGCCCCGUGCUCACUCAUGGCUGGGUUGUGCUCUAGCAAAAAUGACACAGCAACUUUAUACCAUUUCCACCCCAGACCCCCAGCGCAUAAAACUGGGUUGUGAUGAUUGUUGUACAAGUAUCAAUGUAAUAAUAUUCACUGAGUAAAAAAAAAAAAAAUGACGCAGGUGGCUGGUUCAUCGCACAUUCAAAUGUGUUGAGUCUCUCCACGUUGCAGUCCUGACCGUGGCCUUGAGUGAUGCCUUGCCACACCUACGUGUCGUUUAUUCGAGAUUGUUCCUAUGAACAAAGACCUCCACCGCCAGAUAAGCUCCCCUUUGAGGGCAGAGGCCAUGUGGAGCAUCCGUGACAUUGGAAAGACAUCGUCAAAGGGAUUACUGGUGCCCAAAUUCUGAGUUGCAGGAAGUUCAACAGAAGCUGUGCCUUCAGGCUCAGCACAGAUUUGUAUGCAGCUUUAUGUCUGACAUACCUAUACACCUGCUUACUGUUCUCCAGACCAGGACCAGAAAAAAUAAAAUAAAGUCUGAAUUUUUUUCACACUGAAAAAAAAAUUAAGGUAACAAUUUGUGCUCAAAUUGGAUAGGAAAAUUCACUACCAUAAAGCGUGAAAACCGCUAUUUCUUCCUGAUUAAGAAAUUUGGUAUAGAUUCAAAGCAAUCCCCAUCAAAAUCCCAAUGUCUUUUUUGUUUGUUUUUUUGCAGAAAUAGAUAGAAGAUCUGUUCUAAAAGUCAUAUGAAUUUUCAAGAAACCCCCCACUUAGCCAAAACAAUCUUUAAGAAGAAAAAAACAAAUCUGAAGAUUUCACAAUUCCUGUUUUCAGAACUUAAUACAAAGCUACAGCAAUCAAAACAGUGUGGUACUGGCAUAAAGACAGACACAACCGAUGGAAUGGAAUAGAGAGCCCACAAAUACACUCUUGGAUAAAUGGCCAAGUGAUUUUUGACAAGGGCGCUAAGACCCCUCAUUGGUCUUUUCAACAAAGGGUGUUGGGAAAACUGGAAAUCCACAUGCAAAGGAAUGAAGCUGGACCCGUAACUGACACCACAUACAAAAAGUAUCUCCAAACAUGUCAAAACUCGAAACAUAACAACUAAAACUACACAACUGUUAUGUGAAAACAUACAGGAAAGUCUUCAUGAUGUUACAGUUAGCAAUGAUUUCUUGGAUAUGAUACCAAAAACAUAAGCCACACAAGAAAGAUAAAUCGGACUACGUGAAAAAUAAAAACUUUUGUGCAUCAAAGGACACUACCAACCAAAUGAAAGAAGUAAACCAUAGAAUGGGAGGGAAUAUUGCAAACCAUUUAUCUAACAAGUGCUUAAUAUCCUGAAUAUAUCAACAACUCCUACAAGCCAACAACAACAACACAACUUGAUUAAGGCAAAAAAACCUUGAGUAGAUAUUUAUCCAAAGAAGAUAUACACAUGGCCAACAAGUACCUGAAAAGAUGCUCAACAGCACCUAUCAUCAGGGAAACACAAUUCAAACCCACAGUCAGAUGCCACUUCACAGCUAUUUGGGCGGCUACUGUUAAAAACAAAACAGAACAAAACCAGAGAGGAAACAACAAAGGCUGGUGAGGAUGUGGAGAGGUGGGCAGAGAUGUAAAACGGUGCUGCUGGGACUGAAAACAGUAUGGAAGAUCCUUAAAAAGUGAAAAAUAGAAUUAAUAUGGAUCAGACAAGCUCACAUCUGGGUUUACAGAGCGUAGAACUGAAGGCGGAGGUUCAGACAAAUAUUUGCACACCCAUGUUCACAGCAGCUUUAUUCACAAUAGCCAAAGGGUGGGAGCAACUCAAGCAUCC